GCUAAUUUUCAUGAGGUUAGAGAGCCAGUUGAUAAUACAUGAAUAAUUCAAACUCUCCCAUUCUUUCCAUUUGGCCUCCUGCCCCCUAUUUAUACAAUAGAAUUUGUCAUUUUUUUGGAUGUGUUAGAUUUCCUCUUUGUUAUUGCGAAAUGAUUACAAUCACCCUCUAUAUAAUCCUGACAAGGCUCCCUGCAAGACCAAUAGCCCUGUGGAAGAGAGAGGCUGCUAAGACACCAUGGUAAGUGACAGGUUCAUGUUGGAAAGGGAAGAAAAGGAACACUGCUGGUUUUUUGGGAUGAGGGCAUUUGUGUUUCUGCUGAAAGCUUCCAGUGCUCCCUGGGGCUGCUUGUUGAUUUUCCUCCUGGGCUCCCUGAAGAGAGGCAGCAUGAUAUAGUGGAUGGGCAGCUGUCCUGGGAGUCAAGAAGUCCAGGAUUCUAGUCCUACCUCUCAUAUGUAUCAUUUGUCAAUAUCCUGCUUUACUAUCUUAGGCUAAAAGCAGCCAAAUAUUUCAUUUAUCUUGGCAGAGAUAGUUCCCCCUCAGUCCUCUAUUAUCCAUUGAAUAUUAUAUAUGUUAUUUUUUUUAAAAAAGCAAUUGUAAACUUUCAAUUGGCCAGGAUAGACCUUACCUAAAGUCCUUACCAUAAUGCCCCUCUUCCAGACCCCCAGCCCAGCAAGAAUCUGCCCACUUCCCCAAUAUGCCUGGACCCAUUGUAGGCAGUUCUUACUCUGUGUCGGUAUCACCUUCCCUGUCCAUUUCCCUCCUUUUAUCCCAAACCUCUUUUCUCUCCAGAGAAAUACGUUCCUAGUAGAAGAAUUCAUAGUCCUGAUCUGACUUCAAUUAUGACAUAUGAAUGGAAUGAGAGCCUUUAUGAAGUGACGAAUACAAGGGAAGCAGGAAAAUCUGGAGAAAUCUGAAUGAUCAGAUGCAGAGUGACGAUGGCAGGAAAAUAAUGUCGAUAAGUAGUAGAGAAAUGACAGAAAAGAAGAAAAUUCUAAAAAGUCUUCUAAACAAAGAUGAAAUGCGAUCAUCAAUGUUGUUUUCAAAGUAUAGAAGACAAAAUAUUGCAGAAAUCGUAAUCAUGACUUUAAUGAAUGGGACACUUCCUGGAUUACUGAUGACUGUGAAAUGUGUCAUUGUUCCCCGAAAGGAAUAGAUUGCACUAGCGUUAUUUUAAGGCCUAUGGGAUAUGACAAAAAGAAAUGCAAGGAAGUUUUCAAUGCAGAAGAGUGUAUUUACAAAGCUGUAGAGAAAAAUAAUCCCUCUCAAAGCUGUAAAGUCUCAAAAUAUAUUAUUUAGUCCUUCUACCUCCUUCUGUUUUUGCUGCCAAAGUCACCAUCUCCUAAUGGAACUUGUGCUCACAUGAAAUAAUGACUCUCUACUUGGAAGUCGGAACAGAAGACUGUGAGCUAUGUGGGCUGGACCUUGGAUUUCCAUUCUCUUGAAGGUCUUGUCAUGUCUCAGGCACUCUGAUUCAGACCACAGAGUGCCACCUCUCGGCCUCCUGAAAGUUGUAUAAGUACCUCCUGUAACCUGUUGUCUAAUGAAUAACUCAAGAAAAUAUAUGUUCCCCUAGAAUGAAAUGGAAUUCUGCUCUUUUCCCUUAUAGCAAUCGACAUCCAAAGUCAUUAUGGUGGUGGGCGAUUUCAUUAUGUUCUUUCUCAGAGGUAAUCCCUAGGAAGUACUCUUUGGGCUAUUAGACUGAAUUUUUUUUGUUUUUGUUUUUAUGUCUACUCAGCUCCCAGAUCUGUGUUUGGGAAUCCUGGCACCACAAACCUGGUAGAAUCAGGAUUCUAAAGAAUGUAGGAGAAAAUGGAAAGAGGGAUAUCAUGUUCAAGGUGGUAUAUUUACCAAUGAUGACUUUCAGUUGGGUAGCAAGACAAAAGAUAUCAUGUACGUGUAGGAAUGAUAGGAUCCUUAUGUUGUAGGGAUUGAUAGGUCCCCUACAUUAUAGAGACUCCGAGUAAAGAAUCAAAUACAUUGAAGAUACCUGAAUGAACUAGAAAUGACCUAGGGCUGAACCUGGAAUAUGUUUCAUCAGCAGAACAUGUUAUGAGAUGUCCUCUUAUGUAUGUUUUCCUGCAUCUUAUCGAUAUCCCCGAAUACUGCAAUCACAGAGUACAUUGUACCCACUAGAUGAAUAUCUUGAGAGGAUGCUUUGUUAUCCUCAAGACUCUCUGUGAUUGGCUAUAUGUUCCUAUGAACAUAUUACAUAAAAUCAUGUGGAUGGAUAUGUUUAGGUAGGAAUCCAACUGUGUAUAAAUAUCAUUACUCCCUUCAAUAAAGUUCCCUUUGAUUGCCA
ensembl:lncRNA